rnacentral:rRNA from 1 species
AACGCUGGCGGCGUGCCUAAUACAUGCAAGUUGAGCGCUGAAGGUUGGUACUUGUACCAACUGGAUGAGCAGCGAACGGGUGAGUAACGCGUGGGGAAUCUGCCUUUGAGCGGGGGACAACAUUUGGAAACGAAUGCUAAUACCGCAUAAAAACUUUAAACACAAGUUUUAAGUUUGAAAGAUGCAAUUGCAUCACUCAAAGAUGAUCCCGCGUUGUAUUAGCUAGUUGGUGAGGUAAAGGCUCACCAAGGCGAUGAUACAUAGCCGACCUGAGAGGGUGAUCGGCCACAUUGGGACUGAGACACGGCCCAAACUCCUACGGGAGGCAGCAGUAGGGAAUCUUCGGCAAUGGACGAAAGUCUGACCGAGCAACGCCGCGGGAGUGAAGAAGGUUUUCGGAUCGUAAAACUCUGUUGGUAGAGAAGAACGUUGGUGAGAGUGGAAAGCUCAUCAAGUGACGGUAACUACCCAGAAAGGGACGGCUAACUACGUG